UAGAUAAAUAAAUAGAGGAGUGAAGGAGAUAAUGACCAACUUUUGGUUGGAUGCCCAGCCCAUCCAGGAGCAUUCAGAACCCUAGUGGGCUGCCCGGCUGGCUUUCUCUUGAUUCCUGCAAAUGCAGCCUUAAAUGGGAGUAACCACCAUGAUGUGGAUCUCUCUCUCUCUCUCUCUCUCUCUCUCUCUCUCUCUCUCUAGUCUCUACAAACUGAGAGCUUUUAGUAUUUAGGAGAUCGAGGAGAAAGGCAUGGGGGUUAUUUAUGCUUAUUUAUUAGCUACCCUCCCUGUUCCUAUUCCUACUUUUUUAUGUUUAUAGCUGAUCAUACUGAUUACUUAAACUGCAUGAAGGGAAGAGGAGUGAGGCAAGGGACAAAGGAGAGACCGGGGAGAUGGAUUGGAGAUGGAGUGGGCCACGCGGAUGGGGAGAGCGCAUGUGCCCUCGCGCCGCUGCUGGGAGGCCAUACUGUUUAACGGCGCUAUCCCCUCACGUGAAUAUCCAGCUGUUCCCUUACGCGCCACCUAACGGCGUGUAACGGCUCCGCUAAUCGCGGGAGCGUAUUGUUUAUCUGUUCUGUAACCGUUGGAAACACAUUUAUACUUGAUUUUUAAUAUAUUUGAAA